rnacentral:rRNA from 1 species
AAUUGAAGAGUUUGAUCCUGGCUCAGAUUGAACGCUGGCGGCAUGGCUAAAACAUGCAAGUCGAACGACACAGUGGCGAAAGGGCGAGUAACGCGAUCGAACGUACCCCGAGGUGGGGGAUAGCUUCUGGAAACGGAAGGUAAUACCCCAUGUCCUCUCAGGAGAAAAGCUCCGGCGCCUUGGGAGCGGCGAUCGUCCUAUCAGGUAGUUGGCGGGGUAACGGCCCACCAAGCCGAAGACGGGUAGCGGGUGUGAGAGCAUGACCCGCCGCAUCGGAACUGAGACACUGUCCGGACUCCUACGGGAGGCUGCAGUAACGAAUCUUCCGCAAUGGGCGCAAGCCUGACGGAGCAAUGCCGCGUGCGGGAUGAAGCUUCUUCGAAGUGUAAACCGCUGUCAGGGUCUCGCACCACCGAGCAGACCCAGAGGAAGGGCCGGCUAAUUCCGUGCCAGCAGCCGCGGUAAUACGGAAGGCCCGAGCGUUAAUCGGAAUCACUGGGCUUAAAGCGUGCGCAGGCGGACAUGAAGGCAUCUUGUGAAAGCCCACGGCUCAACCGUGGAAUUGCGGGGUGAACCACAUGUCUCGAGGCAGGUAGGGGUGAGUGGAACUAUGGGUGGAGCGGUGAAAUGCGUAGAUAUCCAUGGGAACGCCGAUGGCGAAGGCAACUCACUGGGCCUGUCCUGACGCUCAGGCACGAAAGCGUGGGGAGCGAACGGGAUUAGAUACCCCGGUAGUCCACGCCGUAAACGAUGCACACUAGGUCGGGGAGGUUCUCAUGCCGUCCCGGCCGAAGGAAAACUGUUAAGUGUGCCGCCUGGGGAGUACGGUCGCAAGGCUAAAACUCAAAGGAAUUGACGGGGGCUCACACAAGCGGUGGAGCAUGUUGCUUAAUUCGAGGCAACGCGAAGAACCUUACCUGGGCUUGACAUGCACGGAUUAACUCUUUGAAAGAAGAGCCACGCCCUCUGGGUGGAACGUGCACAGGUGCUGCAUGGCUGUCGUCAGCUCGUGCUGUGAAGUGUCGGGUUAAGUCCCUUAACGAGCGCAACCCCUAUCGUUAGUUACUAACGCGUCAUGGCGAGGACUCUAGCGAGACUGCCGGUGUCAAACCGGAGGAAGGUGGGGAUGACGUCAAGUCCUCAUGGCCCUUACGUCCAGGGAUGCAAACGUGCUACAAUGGUAUGGACAGAGCGACGCGAGACCGCGAGGUGGAGCAAAUCGCAAAAACCAUGCCCCAGUUCGGAUUGCAGGCUGCAAUUCGCCUGCAUGAAGCCGGAAUCGCUAGUAAUCGCGCAUCAGCUACGGCGCGGUGAAUACGUUCCUGAGCCUUGUACACACCGCCCGUCACGUCAUGGAAGCUGGCAGCGCCCGAAGUCACCUCGGUUCAGGGGUGCCUACGGCGAGGCUGGUAACUGGGACGAAGUCGUAACAAGGUAGCCGUAGGAGAACCUGCGGCUGGAUCACCUCCUUUCUAAGG